CAACUUUCAACAACGGAUCUCUUGGCUCUCGCAUCGAUGAAGAACGCAGCGAAAUGCGAUAAGUAAUGUGAAUUGCAGAAUUCAGUGAAUCAUCGAAUCUUUGAACGCACCUUGCGCUCUUUGGUAUUCCGAGGAGCAUGCCUGUUUGAGAGUCAUG
rnacentral:rRNA from 1 species